CACAAAAUGGAAUCCAGAGAGGAAUCUGGAGAGGAGUGAAAAAUGAUUAUACUUUUGAAUAAGGAUUGCAGAGUGAUAUUUAAGCUUGAAGGAGAGGAAGAGGACUUUUCUGGUAUGAGGAAGAGAGUCACGGUUCAGGUCGGAAAAUGGCAUGAGGAAAUAGAUUAUGAAAUGACUUCAGGUGAGAAUCUGUUCUAUUCAUCUAAUGCUUGGUCUUAAGCGUGGAUCAACAUAUUGAGAUA
rnacentral:lncRNA from 1 species